rnacentral:misc_RNA from 1 species
GAAAUGCGAUAAGUAAUGUGAAUUGCAGAAUUCAGUGAAUCAUCGAAUCUUUGAACGCACAUUGCGCCCGUCAGCAUUCUGGCGGGCAUGCCUGUCCGAGCGUCAUUUCAACCCUCAGGACCCCCCUUUCGCGGGGAGGGACCUGGCGUUGGGGAUCGGCCCGCCCCCCGCGGCGGCGCCGUCCCCGAAAUCUAGUGGCGGUCUCGCUGCAGCCUCCCCUGCGUAGUAGUUACAACCUCGCAUCGGAGCGCGGCGCGGCCACGCCGUAAAACCCCCGACUUUCUGAACGUUGACCUCGGAUCAGGUAGGAAUACCCGCUGAACUUAAGC